CAGUUUAAUCAGUUUAAUGAUACAGGAGGAAAGCAAGAUUAAAAAAGGGACGGACAACGUUCAUUGCAUAUCUUGUUAUUGCUUGUCAGUUUACGGCCCUCAGCGUUUGUUAAGCUACACUAACUAUUUACUUGUAACUUGAUAAAUUUUGGUAUGCUGGUGGUAAUACGAGUAGGGGCCAGACAUAAAGCAAUGCGACAAUUAAUGAUAUGUUGCAUAGUGGGGCAUAAUGUAGUGUAACAGCUGACGCUAUAUAUCAUCGA